CUACGGGUUGCAGCAGUGGGGAAUAUUGCACAAUGGAGGAAACUCUGAUGCAGCAACGCCGCGUGGAGGAUGACACUUUUCGGAGCGUAAACUCCUUUUAUAUAGGAAGAAGAUGACGGUACUAUAUGAAUAAGCGCCGGCUAACUCCGUGCCAGCAACCGCGGUAAUACGGAGGGCGCAAGCGUUACUCGGAAUCACUGGGCGUAAAGAGCGUGUAGGCGGAUUAAAAAGUCAGAAGUGAAACCCUAUAGCUUAACUAUAGAACUGCUUCUGAAACUCUUAAUCUAGAAUAUGGGAGAGGUAGAUGGAAUUUCUGGUGUAGGGGUAAAAUCCGUAGAGAUCAGAAGGAAUACCGAUUGCGAAGGCGAUCUACUAGAACAUUAUUGACGCUGAGACGCGAAAGCGUGGGGAGCAAACAGGAUUAGAUACCCCCGUAGUC
rnacentral:rRNA from 1 species